rnacentral:rRNA from 1 species
UACGUAGGAGGCAAGCGUUGUCCGGAAUUACUGGGCGUAAAGCGUGCGCAGGCGGUUUUGUAAGUCUGUCGUGAAAUCCCCGGGCUUAACCUGGGAAUGGCGAUGGAGACUGCAAGGCUAGAGUUUGGCAGAGGGGGGUAGAAUUCCACGUGUAGCAGUGAAAUGCGUAGAGAUGUGGAGGAACACCGAUGGCGAAGGCAGCCCCCUGGGUCAAAACUGACGCUCAUGCACGAAAGCGUGGGGAGCAAGCAGG